rnacentral:lncRNA from 1 species
GAGAGACCCACCUAUCCGAUAGGUCUAAAGAGCGCCUGCUCUCGAGGGAGGGCUGGCGACUCGUGCGCCUGCUUGACCCGGAAGCAGACUCCGCGUCGCUGGGCCCGUUGGCGGCAGAAUCUACGCUACCGUAGCGUCUGCCGGGGGGAGCGGGGAAGGGGAUGGGGGGAGAGGAAAAGGGUCAGCACACCAGAGAGAAAGAGACCAGCCUGCUUUGCAUCCGGGGAAUCAUAUCACCUUCUGGGGCCAAGACUAGGGGAAAGUCAUCGGGGAGUAAUAAGAUGUUAUCACCUUCCGGGGUCAAUACUAGGGGAAGGUAAUUGGGGAGUAAUAAGAUGUUAUCACCUUCCGGGGUCAAUACUAGGGGAAGGUAAUCGGGGAGUAAUAAGAUGUUAUCACCUUCCGGGACCAAUACUAGGGGAAGGUAAUCGGGGAGUAAUAAGACGUUAUCACCUUCCGGGACCAAUACUAGGGGAAGGUAAUCGGGGAGUAAUAAGACGUUAUCACCUUCCGGGGCCAAUACUAGGGGAAGGUAAUCGGGGAGUAAUAAGAUGUUAUCACCUUCCGGGACCAAUACUAGGGGAAGGUAAUCGGGGAGUAAUAAGACGUUAUCACCUUCCGGGGUCAAUACUAGGGGAAGGUAAUUGGGGAGUAAUAAGAUGUUAUCACCUUCCGGGGCCAAUACUAGGGGAAAGUCAUUGGGGAGUAAUAAGAUGUUAUCACCUUCCGGGGUCAAUACUAGGGGAAGGUAAUCGGGGAGUAAUAAGAUGUUAUCACCUUCCGGGGUCAAUACUAGGGGAAGGUAAUCGGGGAGUAAUAAGAUGUUAUCACCUUCCGGGGCCAAUACUAGGGGAAGGUAAUCGGGGACUAAUAAGAUGUUAUCACCUUCCAGGGCCAAUACUAGGGGAAGGUAAUCAGGGACUAAUAAGAUGUUAUCACCUUCCGGGGCCAAUACUAGGGGAAGGUAAUCGGGGAGUAAUAAGAUGUUAUCACCUUCCGGGGCCAAGACUAGGGGAAGGUAAUCGGGGAGUAAUAAGAUGUGUUAUCGACAGCUUUCAUCACAGGGUUGUUGUGUAUUUUCCGUGCAUGUUCCUUUUGGCUCUCAGUAUUGAAAAAAAAAACCCCUCCAAAAUCAGAACAGUAAAUAACAAAACGAGCAACACUCUGAAAACAGAAGAAUUCCAGACAGGCAAAAAGUAUUUUUUUUUAUUCCUUUUUCUUCUUUAUUACUAUUAUAUUAUUAUUAUAUUAUAA